rnacentral:rRNA from 1 species
UACGAAGGGGGCUAGCGUUGUUCGGAAUUACUGGGCGUAAAGCGCGCGUAGGCGGAUCGCUAAGUCAGGGGUGAAAGCCCUCAGCUCAACUGAGGAAGUGCGCCCGAAACUGCAGAGCUUGAGUACCGGAGAGGAUGGCGGAAUUCCCCAAGUAGAGGUGAAAUUCGUAGAUAUGGGGAGGAACACCGGUGGCGAAGGCGGCCAUCUGGACGGAUACUGACGCUCAUGCACGAAAGCGUGGGGAGCAAACAGG